rnacentral:lncRNA from 1 species
AAAAAAAAAAAGAAAUAAAGGUUGGCAGCCGCACAUUCCCUCACACUCCUCCUCCUUUCGUUGUCUUUCCGGUGACCGGAGCCACACUUCCGGCGACUUCCGACACCCCUCUCUUUCAGGCGAACCAUACUCACAUCACACCACCACACCCUCGUUCUUUCUCUACCGUUUCGUCAAGCAACAUCAACGACAACGCAGAACUCCGGUGACGGUUAUCCUCCAGUGAUGAUGGUGAAGACGUUGGUGGCCGACGGCAGCCGAAACCACAACUAUAGACGAGGUGGUGGUCUUGGUUCGACUCUGCGUUGGCUCGGAUCAGAUCUCGGAGCAGGAUGAAAAAAAAAAAACGCAACCUCACACGUCCACCUAUUUCACGUUUUCUCCGGUAGUUAGGUAUCUUGGAAUUGGGAAGCUUGCUAUCUGGGAGUGCUGGAGUGGUCAUGGAUCGAGGCUCUUGGAUUAAAAUACAUUUAAUACAUUGGUUUUAAGUGUUAUUACGAAACAAUUGCGCAACAACUUAUUACAUGCUUCCGCUACACAACUUUUGAGAAUUAAUAUUAUGUUGGCAACUUAUUUUGUUAAAAUAGU